rnacentral:rRNA from 1 species
UACGGGGGGUGCGAGCGUUGUCCGGAAUCACUGGGCGUAAAGGGCGCGUAGGCGGCGGGGUAAGCGUGCGGUGAAAGCUCGGGGCUCAACCCCCGAGUCGGCCGUGCGAACUGCCCUGCUUGAGCACUGUAGAGGCAGGUGGAAUUCCGGGUGUAGCGGUGGAAUGCGUAGAGAUCCGGAAGAACACCAGUGGCGAAGGCGGCCUGCUGGGCAGUGGCUGACGCUGAGGCGCGACAGCGUGGGGAGGCAAACAGGAU